AACAAACAAAAAAGAAGCUAUAAAAGUUUCAUUGUGUUGAAGAAGAAGCGCAGCAUCUUUGUUUUCUUCAUCUUCUUUUCCCGCCAAUCCGCCAUGGAAAUCGACGGCGAGAAAAUUCUCCAACGCAAGACUUCUCAAUACACUAACUUGGAUGAAGUUUUUAUGGUAAAAAAUGAGGUUUAUAAAGGACAACAAUAUAGUCAAAUUUACUAUGCUCGGCUUCAUAUGUUGAGGACUCUUAUUCACUCUCUUCUUCCUCAUUGGAAACCCCACAUUCCUGUUCGUACAAUUCUGGGACUUGAACAAGGCAAGGACUGUAUCCUUGUCGGAACAGUCUACAAGCACAUGAAACUCAAACCCUGUGUUCUUGAUGAAUACUCUAAGGAGAGGUCUGUGAUUCCUCUUGUCAAGCCUCACAAUUUCAUGCAUCCUGAUGAUCACCUGGUGCUGGAGGAUGAAAGUGGGAGAGUUAAGCUUGAUGGAACAACACUUUUACCUUCCGCCUAUGUUACCGGGAUUGUGGCUGCAUUCCUUGGAAAAGAAACUGGAGCUGGAUCUUUCUUUGUUCAAGAUAUUCUUGACGCUGGCCUACCACCCCAGAUACAGAAGCCUCUGAAGCUUGGUGGUGACAAGUACGUGGUCUUUGUAUCAGGCUUAUGUGUUGGGAAUAGCACCUCAAAUCCUCUCCAGUUCCAGCUUCUUGUGGAUCAUAUAACUGGCCAUUUAGGGGAUGAAAUGGAACAGAGAAUCGCUGCAGAAAUAGUCCAUGUAGUUAUUGCUGGAAAUUCCUUGGAAUUUGCCAGAGAACAAUUUAAUGGACAGAACUUGGGAUCGAAGGAUCAAUCUAAGUUGGCUGAGCCAUUUCAAGAGCUGGAUAUCUUUCUGACUCAGAUUGCUGCUGGAGUAUCUCUGGAUAUCAUGCCUGGGCCCAAUGAUCCUGCAAAUUUCUCUUUACCACAGCAGCCUUUAAAUAGAUGUCUCUUUCCUGGGUCUUCAGUUUAUAACACCUUCAGGUCUUGUACCAACCCUCAUUCCUUCGAGCUUGACGGGAUCAGAUUUCUUGGGACAUCAGGGCAGAAUAUUGAUGAUCUUGAAAAGUAUUCAGAAGCUAAAGAUAAACUUGAGUUCGUGGAAAGGACGUUGAGAUGGAGGCAUCUCGCGCCAACUGCACCGAACACUCUAGGGUGUUAUCCAUUUACGGACAGGGAUCCUUUUGUACUUGAGAGUUGUCCUCAUGUUUACUUUGUUGGGAAUCAGGAUGUAUAUGAAAGCCGUCUACUCAAAGGAUCAGAAGGCCAAAUGGCACGAAUUGUUACAAUACCUAAAUUUUGCGAGACAGGAGUUGCUGUUGUGCUUAAUCUGAGAAAUCUGGAAUGCCACACUCUGAGUUUUGGGACUGAAUUCAGCUUGUAAUUGUGAAUCAUGGUUUCAGCAGUUAUUAUGAUCUUAUAGCUUCUUCAACCUAAAGAGAGUUGCUGACAGACUAUCUUUGAAAUUUCAGGUCAGAAAGUAUUUCUCAACUUAGCAGGGCGAAAUUUUUGUGGUAGCUGACUAGCUGUAUUAGCUUCACUUUUCGGAGUGUAACAAGAGAAGAUGAGCCUCAUGUCAAUAUGUUCACUCUGUGUUCGCUUAUGUCGAAUGGUAUGGAUCCCUUUCUUUCUGAACAUUUAUGUAAUAGCUUAAGCAACUAUUAGGUGCAGCUAGAUUAUGUAUACUACUAGUAAGUAGUCUGUGUAGAUGAUCUUAGUGUUGUAGCAUUCAUUGCUCCAUGUAUCUUAGUUAAGCUCAUGUGGAGGAGGCAGUCAAAGAUGCUUUCAUGACAUACAUAUAAAUUUUGUCGUGAUACGAGGAUUUAACUCAGAAUGCAUGGGAUCUCAUUGUCAUCGUACUUCUCUACCUCGUUACUUCUGUUUCUUGGAAUCGCCAGAAAUUUUUGUAUCGAUUGAAACCACAAUAACUUUAUAAUUGAUCCAUGUAUAAGUUAUUUUUAUACUGU